GCCUGGGUGGCUAAGUCAGUUAAGCAUCCGACUUCGGCUCAGGUCAUGAUCUCAGGGCUCGUGGGUUCGAGCCCCGCACUGGGCU
rfam:Felis catus isolate Cinnamon breed Abyssinian chromosome E3, whole genome shotgun sequence.